CAAAAGGAAGAGUAUAAAACAGCCACUAAUCCUAUUACCCAGAGAGAACCACUGCUGGCACUUGGGUAUCUCCAGAAUUUUCCAUGGCUCAUACCCACUGAGGAUCCCGUACAUUGUACACAAUGUCUGCCUGGAGGAGGGAAUCUGCACCUGGGAGUCUCAGCACCAGUGCCCUGGGCCUGUCUGCCAAGAUGCCCAUCUGCAGCUGAGAGGCCUGAGGGUGAUCCAGCCCUUCCCGAGGCCAGGCUCUGACUCCUUUCGUGUGAGGCUUGGGCAGCUCCAGGCUCCAGGCUGGAUCUGGACUGUGUGAGAGAGGACUUCCCUGGUCCAGCUCUCCCUGG
rnacentral:lncRNA from 1 species